CGAACGGGUGCGUAACACGUGAGAAAUCUGCCCCGGACUUUGGGAUAACAGUUGGAAACGACUGCUAAUACCGAAUACCGCCGUCACCUCGCAUGGGGAGGCGACGAAAGGUCCGCCGGUCCGGGAGGAUCUCACGGCCUAUCAGCUUGUUGGAGAGGUAACGGCUCACCAAGGCAUCGACGGGUAGCUGGUCUGAGAGGAUGAUCAGCCACACUGGAACUGAGACACGGUCCAG
rnacentral:rRNA from 1 species